UACAGAGGUCCCAAGCGUUGUUCGGAUUCACUGGGCGUAAAGGGUGCGUAGGUGGCCAGGUAAGUUCGGUGUGAAAGCUCGGAGCUUAACUCCGAAAUGUCAUUGAAUACUAUCUGGCUGGAGGGUCGGAGGGGGGGACUGGAAUUCUCGGUGUAGCAGUGAAAUUCUAGAUAUCAAGCAGAACACCUGCGGCGAAGGCGGCCUUCUGGACGAUGACUGACGCUGAGACGCGAAAAGCGUGGGGGAGCAAAACAGG
rnacentral:rRNA from 1 species